rnacentral:rRNA from 1 species
GUCCACGCCGUAAACUAUCAAUACUCGUUUUCAGCGAUAUACGGUUGGAGACUAAGCGAAAGUGAUAAGUAUUGCACCUGGGGAGUACGAUCGCAAGGUUGAAACUCAAAGGAAUUGACGGGGGCCCCGCACAAGCGGUGGAGCAUGUGGUUUAAUUCGAUGAUACGCGAGGAACCUUACCAGGGCUUAAAUGCAGAACGCAUAUUUUGGAAACAGAAUAGUCUUCGGACGGUCUGCAAGGUGCUGCAUGGCUGUCGU